rnacentral:rRNA from 1 species
UCCGGAGGAUGCAAGCGUUAUCCGGAAUGAUUGGGCGUAAAGCGUCCGCAGGUGGCUGUGUAAGUCUGCUGUUAAAGAGUGAGGCUCAACCUCAUAAAGGCAGUGGAAACUACAUGGCUAGAGUGCGUUCGGGGCAGAGGGAAUUCCUGGUGUAGCGGUGAAAUGCGUAGAGAUCAGGAAGAACACCGGUGGCGAAAGCGCUCUGCUAGGCCGCAACUGACACUGAGGGACGAAAGCUAGGGGAGCGAAUGGG